rnacentral:misc_RNA from 1 species
GAUGAAGAACGUAGCGAAAUGCGAUAAGUAGUGUGAAUUGCAGAAUUCAGUGAAUCAUCGAAUCUUUGAACGCGCAUUGCGCCCCUUGGUAUUCCAUGGGGCAUGCCUGUUCGAGCGUCAUUUGUACCUACAAGCUUUGCUUGGUGUUGGGUGUUUGUCUCGCCUUUGCGUGUAGACUCGCCUUAAAAUAAUUGGCAGCCGGCGUAUUGAUUUCGGAGCGCAGUACAUCUCGCGCUUUGCACUCAUAACGACAGCGUCCAAAAGUACAUUUUACACUCUUGACCUCGGAUCAGGUAGGGAUACCCGCUGAACUUAAGCAUAUCAAUAACGGAGGA